GAUGAACGCUGACAGAAUGCUUAACACAUGCAAGUCUACUUGAAUUUGGGUUUUUAACUUAGAUUUGGGUGGCGGACGGGUGAGUAACGCGUAAAGAACUUGCCUCACAGCUAGGGACAACAUUUAGAAAUGAAUGCUAAUACCUAAUAUUAUGAUAAUAGGGCAUCCUAUAAUUAUGAAAGCUAUAUGCGCUGUGAGAGAGCUUUGCGUCCCAUUAGCUAGUUGGAGAGGUAACGGCUCACCAAGGCGAUGAUGGGUAGCCGGCCUGAGAGGGUGAUCGGCCACAAGGGGACUGAGACACGGCCCUUACUCCUACGGGAGGCAGCAGUGGGGAAUAUUGGACAAUGGACCGAGAGUCUGAUCCAGCAAUUCUGUGUGCACGAUGAAGUUUUUCGGAAUGUAAAGUGCUUUCAGUUGGGAAGAAAGAAAUGACGGUACCAACAGAAGAAGUGACGGCUAAAUACGUGCCAGCAGCCGCGGUAAUACGUAUGUCACGAGCGUUAUCCGGAUUUAUUGGGCGUAAAGCGCGUCUAGGUGGUUAUAUAAGUCUGAUGUGAAAAUGCAGGGCUCAACUCUGUAUUGCGUUGGAAACUGUAUAACUAGAGUACUGGGGAGGUAAGCGGAACUACAAGUGUAGAGGUGAAAUUCGUAGAUAUUUGUGGGAAUGCCGAUGGGGAAGCCAGCUUACUGGACAGAUACUGACGCUGAAGCGCGAAAGCGUGGGUAGCAAACAGG
rnacentral:rRNA from 1 species